rnacentral:rRNA from 1 species
GACGAACGCUGGCGGCGUGCUUAACACAUGCGAGUCGAACGAUGAAGCCGGAGCUUGCUCUGGUGAAUUAGUGGCGAACGGGUGAGUAACACGUGAGUAACCUGCCCUUGACUCUGGGAUAACUGCUAGAAAUGGUAGCUAAUACCGGAUACGACCCUCGGAGGCAUCUCCAGGGGGUGGAAAGAAUUUCGGUCAAGGAUGGACUCGCGGCCUAUCAGCUAGUUGGUGAGGUAACGGCUCACCAAGGCGACGACGGGUAGCCGGCCUGAGGGGGUGACCGGCCACACUGGGACUGAGACACGGCCCAGACUCCUACGGGAGGCAGCAGUGGGGAAUAUUGCACAAUGGGCGCAAGCCUGAUGCAGCAACGCCGCGUGAGGGAUGACGGCCUUCGGGUUGUAAACCUCUUUUAGUAGGGAAGAAGCGAAAGUGACGGUACCUGCAGAAAAAGCACCGGCUAACUACGUGCCAGCCGCCGCGGUAA